UCGCGUUCUCGCCUCGUCAGUCUCUUUUAUUCCUCGUUUCGGUGGCGGCGGGUGUGGCGCUCGCACCGGCUGCCGCGGGUCGGCGGGUGGGAGCGGCGCGGCGUCCCCGGCGUCCGCGGCUCCUGUUUGAGCUGCAACCCCUGCGUCGAAAUCUGGUGAUGAGGGCAGAUUAUGAUAAACAACACAAACCUGCAGAUGUCUUUUGCAGUCCUCCAUCGGAGGCUAGGUCGUGAGUCAUGAUGCAAGGUGCGGAGAUAAGUUUGAAGCUGGAAAACGUAUGCCUGCUUAAUUGAUCUCAAUCACAGCCCACUCAAGUACUAGUCCUGGUUCGAUUCAACUACACACAGUGCUUGCUGAAUCCAUGUGAUGCAGCUCCAGGAAGUAAUGUGAACCACAGAUAUUUUCAGAAGAGCAUGGUUACAGCGCUGAGUACGGAGCUGGCAUCAAACAGUCUUUGCGCAGCAGCAUCAGUCCUCUGCUUAUGCAAGGCUAGCAGCAAGAGGGCUCCAGCAUCUUAUAUACAAUGUUAACAUUCCAGCAACACCUGCAGCAGAGAGGACACUAUCCUUCAACGGAUGCCCAGAGGAGACGGGAUCAGGAGACUGAAGCGUUUCAGGAACAUUGGGAGUGCUCGAUAUAUCUAAAAAAUAUUCAGAACUGUAGGAAUGCUCGAUAUAUCUAAAAAAUAAUCCCAAUUGUGGUAUUAGAAAGAUGUAUUCUGAUGUUUUUUGUUCAAUGUAAAAUUGAAAUUGCAGAACCGUAUUGCAUACAGUACAUAUCGUGUAUCGUUAUUCUUUGGAUCAA